rnacentral:rRNA from 1 species
CAGUCGCCGCGGGAAUACGAAGGGUGCAAGCGUUAAUCGGAAUUACCGGGCGUAAAGCGUGCGUAGGCGGUGAGUUAAGUCUGCUGUGAAAUCCCCGGGCUCAACCUGGGAAUGGCAGUGGAUACUGGGUCACUAGAGCGUGGUAGAGGAUAGUGGAAUUUCCGGUGUAGCAGUGAAAUGCGUAGAGAUCGGAAGGAACAUCUGUGGCGAAGGCGACUAUCUGGGCCAUCACUGACACUGAGGCACGAAAGCGUGGGGAGCAAACAGGAGUAGAUACCCCAGUAGUCCCUGUCUCUUAUAC